UUGCAGGAGGAAAUAUCUGUUCUUCAUUCCUUUGGGAGCAGAAACACAUCCAAACAUGCUAAAUUACAAAAGGAGGUCUCAGGGCUGACAACCUUACAGCAGAGGUUGUGUGACAGUAGAUUACUCCUAUGUAA
ensembl:snoRNA